AUAAAAUAGCUGGAUGCACUUUCUUUCAGGAAUCAGGGCAUAACUCUUCUCCCCCAUGAGUGUGGGCUGGACUCAGAGACGUACUAUGGAAGAAAGUAAGUAAAGAAACAACUAUUAACUUUACAGUGGAGAACGCUGGCAGAGACGGCUUAACCCAGGGGUCAAGCCCAGCAGCUCCACUGAUAAAUCAUGUUGAUAUCGUGGACCCAUGAGGCCGUGUGUCCUGAUGAGGGCACUUCACCUCCGUGGAUUCUUCCCCCAAACCUAUAACCCAAAUCUAAUUAUGGGGAAAUACCAGGCAAAGCCAGGUUGGAUAUAUAUGCUGAAGGUAGGUUUGGCAAGAUUCGGAGACGGGCUGUCUACAACAGGUGAGAAGGCACCAGUAACAGAACAUGACGCACCGGUUUCUAGAUGAAGCAACUAGUUUUUGUUGGUUCCUUUAUUGAUGUAGGUAAAGAGGUUUGGGAAUGUUUCAGUUUGGAAAUCUGCUGCUGAGACCCGCACGCGACAUGGAGGGUCGGGAAGCUCCACGAAGAUACCCAGCUUGCUGUGUGCGUGUGCGAGGCGUUAGACCAGAGAAGUGCCUUGGGGAUACAAGGAUCUGAUUGAUUGUGUCAGCUUUUAGGCAGAAGUAAAUGACGGUGGUGGAAAGCCAAAGCAAAUACAUGGGGUACAUCACCCCUUCUUUUCACCAUUGGCAGUCAUGUCACUGACAUCCUACCCCAAACACCUGCUGAAACUUCUCCUGGUGGCAUGAACAGGCUCAGCCCCUGCCCAGGGCAGGCUGGAAGUGCCUGGAUAUUAAUGCCCUGGAAAGAAGCCCUCGACCAAAGAACAAGCAAUACUCCACUUCCGCGGCUCUCAGCUUGGGUAGCACUGACGAUUGUUUUGGGGAGAUCCUCAUUGGGACAGCCCCCAGUAGGGUUUUGUCGAUAUAGUGAGAUUACAAAUUAUAAAUGCAAUUGCAAAGUAGAGAGUGACUUGAUGAUGUGAGAACUACAAACCGUGUGGUGGGUUAUGGCAGCAGAAGAGAAGACCUUCGGGCUGGAGGACAUAUGGACACAGAAAGCUUCUUUCUUGUAUAAAGGGGUAUGGAGAACCAAGGUCAAGUGUGGAUUUUAAGAGUAGCUGGGCUUGGGGAGGGCAUUGAAUGUGUGGCCUAGCGCACAGGCCAGGGCAGUGUAAACCAUGGAAGGUGAGCAACAAUUCUGGCUGCUUGGAGGGUGGGAGAAAUGAAAAAGAACACAGAACAUUUCUGUCUCUGUCAUUAUACCAUGAAAUUCUCAGCAGCAGAGAAAUGUCUUUGCUUAUCUUUGUAGCAAUAGACCCUGGAGAGUAACAGCUAUUCAAAAGUCCCAACUAAGUAAAAGAAUGAAUGUUUCAUGAAUAAAUUUGUUCAAAGACUAGGCUUUGAGUUCUGU
rnacentral:lncRNA from 12 species